GAGAUUUAAACUUCAAACUUAUGCAAGGGUCACUCUGUGGCCUGGACCCACCCUCCUCAGGUCAUCACCUUUCUUCACCUGAGCCAAUUAUUUGUAACCUCAGGGUUUCACCAUCACUUCAUGUGCUUUACAAAAAACAAAGGCAAAGCAUCACUCUUAUCAGCAAAUGUGUUAGUCCAGGCUUCACCCUUUGAAUUAUUUGCAUAGGUGAUGCUUCACUUUUGUCAGUUUUACAUAGGUGAGGCUUCACUUGUGUCAGUUUUCCAUAGGUGAGGCUUCACUUUUGUAAGUUUUCGGCCGGUCUGAAGCUUCACCACUGUUUCACCAUACUGGCCAUUUGCAUAGUUCAAGCUUCACCACUGUUUCACCAUAUUGGCCAUUACAUAUUUCAAGCUUCACGUUUUGAAAUCAAGCUCCACCAAUGUUUACUUAUAAUAGUAGACCAUGACUGCAAUGGUCUAUAGUCAUGAUAGUAAUUCCAUACUGCUCAAUAAGUACCAAGUCAACCAGGUUUCAAUUCAAAGAUACAGUAACAUGUUUAUUUUGUCAAUCCAAUGUUUCUACAGAUAUGUUGUUAUGAAACUUAAAACGUUUAUACAAAAGUUGUUUUAACUACAAGUCUUGUUUUCUAAUACUAACUCUUGUUAACUAUAAACACUAACUCCUAUUACCUAUUAAACUCUGUUACUUGGAAAUGAAAGAAAAUGUUCAUUCCAGACAAAUUUCAGGUUUGCGUUGUUAGAUUUUGACAUUGUGUUCAUUAAAACUACACUAUAAAAAUAA